GUGGAGUUGUAGUUCAGAGGAAGAGCGCUUGCCUAGCAUGCAUGAGGAACUGGGUUCGAUCCUCAGCACCACA
rnacentral:tRNA from 1 species